rnacentral:misc_RNA from 1 species
UGGCACGCCCGAAGUCGUUACUCCAACCCUUGUGGAGGAGGAUGCCGAAGGUGGGGCUGAUGACUGGGGUGAAGUCGUAACAAGGUAGCCGUACCGGAAGGUGCGGCUGGAUCACCUCCUAACAGGGAGACAACAACUGAUCGUGAUGUCUGAGUUUUUUAUUCUUAGGCCAUGAUCCUGUCAUCUCGAAGGUCGAUCGGUACCUCAACUUGAGGGAAGAGAAGGGCUGAGCAAUCAGUCUGGAGACUUACCCAUCAAUUUCAGUUCCUAAACUUUGUCUAGGUCACCCCACAGAGGGUAAAGCCGAGAAUGUGUGCAGCAGUGUACAUGUUGAAUCUGGCCAGCCGAAAGGCGAGCUGGAAGCGGCAUCAACUCCUGGGCCAUUAGCUCAGGUGGUUAG